AUUUGAUGCCUGGCAGUUCCCUACUCUCGCAUGGGGAGACCCCACACUACCAUCGGCGCUACGGCGUUUCACUUCUGAGUUCGGCAUGGGGUCAGGUGGGACCACCGCGCUANNNNNNNNNNNNNNNNNNNNUCAGGUGGGACCACCGCGCUACUGCCGCCAGGCAAAUUCUGUUAUCAGACCGUUUUUACGUUCUGAUGUAAUCUGAAUCAGUGCUGAAAAUCGUCUCUCAUCCGCNNNNNNNNNNNNNNNNNNNNGAAUCAGUGCUGAAAAUCGUCUCUCAUCCGCCAAAACAUCUUCGGCGUUGUAAGGUUAAGCCUCACGGUUCAUUAGUACCGGUUAGCUCAACGCAUCGCUGCGCUUACACACCCGGCCUAUCAACGUCGUCGUCUUCAACGUUCCUUCAGGAGACCUAAAGUCUCAGGGAGAACUCAUCUCGGGGCAAGUUUCGUGCUUAGAUGCUUUCAGCACUUAUCUCUUCCGCAUUUAGCUACCGGGCAGUGCCAUUGGCAUGACAACCCGAACACCAGUGAUGCGUCCACUCCGGUCCUCUCGUACUAGGAGCAGCCCCCCUCAGUUCUCCAGCGCCCACGGCAGAUAGGGACCGAACUGUCUCACGACGUUCUAAACCCAGCUCGCGUACCACUUUAAAUGGCGAACAGCCAUACCCUUGGGACCUACUUCAGCCCCAGGAUGUGAUGAGCCGACAUCGAGGUGCCAAACACCGCCGUCGAUAUGAACUCUUGGGCGGUAUCAGCCUGUUAUCCCCGGAGUACCUUUUAUCCGUUGAGCGAUGGCCCUUCCAUUCAGAACCACCGGAUCACUAUGACCUGCUUUCGCACCUGCUCGCGCCGUCACGCUCGCAGUCAAGCUGGCUUAUGCCAUUGCACUAACCUCCUGAUGUCCGACCAGGAUUAGCCAACCUUCGUGCUCCUCCGUUACUCUUUAGGAGGAGACCGCCCCAGUCAAACUACCCACCAGACACUGUCCGCAACCCGGGUAACGGGUCCACGUUAGAACAUCAAACAUUAAAGGGUGGUAUUUCAAGGUCGGCUCCAUGCAGACUGGCGUCCACACUUCAAAGCCUCCCACCUAUCCUACACAUCAAGGCUCAAUGUUCAGUGUCAAGCUAUAGUAAAGGUUCACGGGGUCUUUCCGUCUUGCCGCGGGUACACUGCAUCUUCACAGCGAGUUCAAUUUCACUGAGUCUCGGGUGGAGACAGCCUGGCCAUCAUUACGCCAUUCGUGCAGGUCGGAACUUACCCGACAAGGAAUUUCGCUACCUUAGGACCGUUAUAGUUACGGCCGCCGUUUACCGGGGCUUCGAUCAGGAGCUUCGCUUGCGCUGACCCCAUCAAUUAACCUUCCGGCACCGGGCAGGCGUCACACCGUAUACGUCCACUUUCGUGUUUGCACAGUGCUGUGUUUUUAAUAAACAGUUGCAGCCAGCUGGUAUCUUCGACUGACUUCAGCUCCAUGAGUAAAUCACUUCACCUACGUGUCAGCGUGCCUUCUCCCGAAGUUACGGCACCAUUUUGCCUAGUUCCUUCACCCGAGUUCUCUCAAGCGCCUUGGUAUUCUCUACCUGACCACCUGUGUCGGUUUGGGGUACGAUUUGAUGUUACCUGAUGCUUAGAGGCUUUUCCUGGAAGCAGGGCAUUUGUUGCUUCAGCACCGUAGUGCCUCGUCGUCACGCCUCAGUGUUAAAGUGAACCGGAUUUACCUGGAACACACACCUACACGCUUAAACCGGGACAACCGUCGCCCGGCCAACAUAGCCUUCUCCGUCCCCCCNNNNNNNNNNNNNNNNNNNNCCCCCCUUCGCAGUAACACCAAGUACGGGAAUAUUAACCCGUUUCCCAUCGACUACGCCUUUCGGCCUCGCCUUAGGGGUCGACUCACCCUGCCCCGAUUAACGUUGGACAGGAACCCUUGGUCUUCCGGCGAGCGGGCUUUUCACCCGCUUUAUCGUUACUUAUGUCAGCAUUCGCACUUCUGAUACCUCCAGCAACCCUCACAGG
rnacentral:rRNA from 1 species